rnacentral:rRNA from 1 species
AUUGAACGCUGGCGGCAGGCCUAACACAUGCAAGUCGAGCGGUAGAGAGAAGCUUGCUUCUCUUGAGAGCGGCGGACGGGUGAGUAAUGCCUAGGAAUCUGCCUGGUAGUGGGGGAUAACGUUCGGAAACGGACGCUAAUACCGCAUACGUCCUACGGGAGAAAGCAGGGGACCUUCGGUCCUUGCGCUAUCAGAUGAGCCUCGGUCGGAUUAGCUAGUUGGUGGGGUAAUGGCUCACCAAGGCGACGAUCCGUAACUGGUCUGAGAGGAUGAUCAGUCACACUGGAACUGAGACACGGUCCCGACUCCUACGGGAGGCAGCAGUGGGGAAUAUUGGACAAUGGGCGAAAGCCUGAUCCAGCCAUGCCGCGUGUGUGAAGAAGGUCUUCGGAUUGUAAAGCACUUUAAGUUGGGAGGAAGGGCAGUAAAUUAAUACGUUGCUGUUUUGACGUUACCGACAGAAUAAGCACCGGCUAACUCUGUG